rnacentral:rRNA from 1 species
UGCAGUCGAACGGAUCCUUCGGGAUUAGUGGCGGACGGGUGAGUAACACGUGGGAACGUGCCUUUUGGUUCGGAACAACUCAGGGAAACUUGAGCUAAUACCGGAUAAGCCUUUCGAGGGAAAGAUUUAUCGCCAUUAGAGCGGCCCGCGUAGGAUUAGCUAGUUGGUGGGGUAAAGGCCCACCAAGGCUACGAUCCUUAGCUGGUCUGAGAGGAUGAUCAGCCACAUUGGGGCUGAGACACGGCCCAAACUCCUACGGGAGGCAGCAGUGGGGAAUCUUGCGCAAUGGGCGAAAGCCUGACGCAGCCAUGCCGCGUGAAUGAUGAAGGUCUUAGGAUUGUAAAAUUCUUUCACCGGGGACGAUAAUGACGGUACCCGGAGAAGAAGCCCCGGCUAACUUCGUGCCAGCAGCCGCGGUAAUACGAAGGGGGCUAGCGUUGCUCGGAAUUACUGGGCGUAAAGGGAGCGUAGGCGGAUAGUUUAGUCAGAGGUGAAAGCCCAGGGCUCAACCUUGGAAUUGCCUUUGAUACUGGCUAUCUUGAGUACGGAAGAGGUAUGUGGAACUCCGAGUGUAGAGGUGAAAUUCGUAGAUAUUCGGAAGAACACCAGUGGCGAAGGCGACAUACUGGUCCGUUACUGACGCUGAGGCUCGAAAGCGUGGGGAGCAAACAGGAUUAGAUACCCUGGUAGUCCACGCUGUAAACGAUGAGUGCUAGUUGUCGGCAGGCAUGC